UACGGGAGGCAGCAGUGGGGAAUAUUGCACAAUGGGCGCAAGCCUGAUGCAGCCAUGCCGCGUGUAUGAAGAAGGCCUUCGGGUUGUAAAGUACUUUCAGCGGGGAGGAAGGCGGUGAAGUUAAUAGCUUCACCGAUUGACGUUACCCGCAGAAGAAGCACCGGCUAACUCCGUGCCAGCAGCCGCGGUAAUACGGAGGGUGCAAGCGUUAAUCGGAAUUACUGGGCGUAAAGCGCACGCAGGCGGUCUGUCAAGUCGGAUGUGAAAUCCCCGGGCUUAACCUGGGAACUGCAUUCGAAACUGGCAGGCUAGAGUCUUGUAGAGGGGGUAGAAUUCCAGGUGUAGCGGUGAAAUGCGUAGAGAUCUGGAGGAAUACCGGUGGCGAAGGCGGCCCCUGGGACAAAGACUGACGCUCAGGUGCGAAAGCGUGGGGAGCGAAACAGGGAUUAGGAUACC
rnacentral:rRNA from 1 species